UACGGAGGGUGCUAGCGUUGUUCGGAAUUACUGGGCGUAAAGCGCGCGUAGGCGGCUUUGUAAGUUAGAGGUGAAAGCCCGGGGCUCAACCCCGGAAUUGCCUUUAAGACUGCAUCGCUUGAAUCCGGGAGAGGUGAGUGGAAUUCCGAGUGUAGAGGUGAAAUUCGUAGAUAUUCGGAAGAACACCAGUGGCGAAGGCGGCUCACUGGACCGGCAUUGACGCUGAGGUGCGAAAGCGUGGGGAGCAAACAGG
rnacentral:rRNA from 1 species